AGCCCCCGCGCUUGUGGAGCGCGCAGCGCGGUCACGCCCGGGAGCGCGCAGCUCCGGUAGCCCGGCGGGCGGGCGGGGCCUCCUUGGACCGUAGAGCCGCUCCUCGCGCGGCGCCGCCCUCUUCCUCACCAUCUCCCUCUCGGUGUGGUUUGUGGUGUCCCUGAAGGGACAGAGGGUGUCCUCCGGGGUCCAGGCCCUGACAGGCGGCCGAGAGCGCGGAUGCCCGUGGGCGUGCGUGCGUGGGAGGCGGCUGCACUCUUCCCGCAGGGGCCCAGCGCCUCUAGAGGAUCCCCGGCCAGGGACGCGCACCGGCCGUGGACUGGGCCUGGGCGCGCGCGACGCGGCGGCGGGAACCCGGGACCCCAGGCCGCGCCGGGCAGCCCCGAGGCGCCUCGCCCACGCUCGCGCCCCUCCCCCCUCCGCUUCCUUCCUCCACUCAGCGCGCCCGAGAGCGCAGGCCGGAUGCGAACCCGGGCCAGCCUAGGGUCGUUCAACUUGGCGGCUCCCGGCCUGCUGCCCGCGCGCUACUUGUGAGGCGUGGCCCGGCGAAGGAGGCGCUUGGGGGGCGUGGGGCUCCUCAGCUGGCGGCGGCGACCGAGGGCGCGCGGGACAAUGAGCUGGGCUGCUGCGCGCUGCGGCCGCCUUUAGCUGGCUGAGCGGCUCCACCUGCGAGCAUGGCCCGAAUGCCCGCGCCAGGUGUCCCGCUGCUUUAAGACGGGACGGAGCGCCUAGAUCGCGGCGCGCUGCGGCCGGGGCGGUUGGGACGUCCUUUUAUUAAUUAAUUAAUUUGUGGAGAGCUCUCCCGAGCAGCCGCGAUGGCCAGCACAAGGAGCAUUGAGCUGGAACAUUUUGAAGAACGGGACAAAAGGCCGCGGCCAGGGUCACGGAGAGGGGCUCCCAGCUCCUCCGGGGGCAGCAGCAUCUCUGGCCCCAAGGGCAACGGGCUCAUCCCCAGCCCGGCGCACAGUGCUCACUGCAGCUUCUACCGCACGCGGACCUUGCAGGCCCUCAGCUCGGAGAAGAAGGCCAAGAAGGCGCGGUUCUACCGGAAUGGGGACCGCUAUUUCAAAGGCCUGGUCUUUGCCAUCUCCAACGACCGUUUCCGUUCCUUCGAUGCGCUCCUCAUAGAGCUCACCCGCUCACUGUCUGACAAUGUGAACCUGCCCCAGGGCGUCCGCACCAUCUACACCAUAGACGGCAGCCGGAAGGUCACCAGCCUGGACGAGCUGCUGGAAGGUGAAAGUUACGUGUGUGCCUCCAACGAACCAUUUCGUAAAGUUGAUUACACCAAAAACGUUAAUCCGAACUGGUCUGUGAACAUCAAGGGCGGAACCACCCGCACCCUGGCCGUGGCCUCUGCGAAGAGUGAGGUGAAAGAAAGCAAAGACUUCAUUAAACCCAAGUUAGUGACUGUGAUUCGAAGCGGAGUGAAGCCUAGAAAGGCCGUGCGGAUCCUUCUGAAUAAAAAGACUGCCCAUUCCUUUGAGCAGGUCUUAACAGAUAUCACCGAAGCCAUUAAACUAGACUCAGGCGUGGUCAAGAGGCUGUGCACCCUGGAUGGAAAGCAGGUUACUUGUCUGCAAGACUUUUUUGGAGACGAUGAUGUUUUUAUUGCAUGUGGACCUGAAAAAUAUCGUUAUGCCCAAGAUGACUUUGUCCUGGAUCAUAGCGAAUGCCGUGUCCUGAAAUCGUCCUACUCUCGAGCCUCAGCUGCGAAGUAUUCUGGAUCCAGAAGCCCAGGGUUCUCCCGCCGCAGCAAGUCACCAGCUUCAGUGAAUGGAACUCCCAGUAGCCAGCUUUCCACUCCGAAGUCCACCAAGUCCUCCAGCUCCUCUCCAACCAGCCCGGGAAGUUUCAGAGGAUUGAAGCAGAUUUCUGCUCAGGGCAGAUCUUCUUCCAACGUAAACGGUGGGCCUGAACUUGACCGUUGCCUGAGCCCUGAAGGUGUGAAUGGAAACCGGUGCUCCGAGUCGUUCCCCCUUCUGGAGAAAUACAGAAUAGGGAAGGUCAUCGGGGACGGCAACUUCGCGGUAGUUAAGGAGUGCGUGGACAGGUACACUGGAAAAGAGUUUGCAUUAAAGAUUAUAGACAAAGCCAAAUGCUGUGGAAAGGAGCAUCUGAUUGAGAACGAAGUGUCAAUCCUGCGCCGAGUGAAGCACCCCAACAUCAUCAUGUUGGUUGAAGAGAUGGAAACAGCAACUGACCUCUUUCUAGUGAUGGAACUGGUCAAAGGUGGAGAUCUCUUUGAUGCGAUUACCUCUUCAACCAAGUACACUGAGAGAGAUGGAAGCGCCAUGGUGUACAACCUAGCCAAUGCCCUCCGGUACCUGCACAGCCUCAGCAUCGUCCACAGGGACAUCAAGCCUGAGAAUCUGCUGGUGUGCGAAUACCCAGAUGGAACCAAGUCUUUGAAGCUGGGAGACUUUGGGCUGGCGACGGUGGUUGAAGGCCCGUUGUACACGGUCUGUGGCACGCCAACUUAUGUGGCACCAGAGAUCAUAGCUGAAACAGGUUAUGGCCUGAAGGUGGAUGUUUGGGCAGCUGGUGUGAUUACAUACAUACUUCUCUGUGGAUUCCCACCAUUCCGGAGUGAGAACAAUCUCCAGGAAGAUCUCUUUGACCAGAUCUUGGCUGGAAAGCUGGAAUUCCCAGCCCCCUACUGGGACAACAUUACAGACUCUGCCAAGGUACUGUGUAGGGCUCUUCCUGUAUACACUGUAGGGUCCUUGCAUGUGGGGCUAUAGCAGCCCACAGCUUGGGGCUCCUGAGACUUGACUUCUAAUAUGUGGCCUUUCUGUAAGUUUGUAUAGUGUACUAUAGUGUAGUCUCCGGAGUCCUCAACUAGACUUUGAAACCUAGAUGGCAAUUCCCCUCCUCCACUGCUGUGCUAAUCACUGCAAACAUAGUGAUGAAAAUGGAAAAUGCCACAAUGUCCCGUGGAGUGAGGUCAGAGAUCCGCAGGUCUUAGGAGACAGUCUGGGAUCCCUGACAGGAGGGAGACACCGCUGUCCCAGGCACUGUGCUGACACAGGCAGUGAAUCUGCCUGUCUCAUAAGCCCUGAUCAUGUGGGUGGUUGGCUUCAUGCCCCAGUGGCUGAGCUGCUAUGUUGGCUUUUGAGUUCUGUAUUUAUGCUGGAAUCACCCUCUUUCUCCUCCUCUGUGGUCUACCACCCCUUCCUUCCCUCCCCUUUCUCCCCUUUGUAGGAGUUAAUCAGUCAAAUGCUUCAGGUAAACGUUGAAGCUCGCUGUACUGCGGGAGAAAUUCUGAGUCACCCCUGGGUGUCAGUAAGUACCCACAUUCCCAGGGAACGAGUGAGUCUGUGUUGUGUGGUCAGCAGCAUGCUUCCUUGCUAUGUGUUUUGCACAGAUGCAGUUGUACAUUCAAAUUCUAUGGCAGGUAGACUGUCUCUCCUAAUGACCAAAUAUCAUGGGAGAAGAUGGCUGAUACCGGAGUCCCUCGUCUGCUUCGCCUGUCCCUUGUUGGACCUCAGUUUACUCAUCUACGAAGUAGGGUUGGCCAAGAUGCUCUUUAAGGACCCAUUCCAUGACUUCGUUCUAGUUUUGGGGUUUGUGUUUUCCUCAGAGAUGAAUGUGUUUUAGACUGUGACCUCUGUGUCCACAUGGCGUGCAGUCCCAUGGACUGGAAGGAGAGACAGUCUCCUCCAGAGGUAUCGAAGAGGUUGGUAGUGACCACAUGUUCCCUCUGGGCAGAAGUGAACUAGAAGGCAAGUCCUGAACACUGGGUUAAUUAGCCACAUGGCUGUACUGCUGUACCCUUCCACUCUUCACACUGUUUCCCUGGGCUAAGACACAAGUCGGGGAGACAGCACAUCUCUUUGUGAGCAGUAAGGCUAUCAGUUGAGUGACUGAUGUCCUGGAGAUGGAGCUCGAGCCUUCAGCAUACAGCAUGUUCUCCUGCCAGUUUUGUUUUGUUUUAAUUAAGAAAUGGGGUCAAACAUUAGGCGCAAGCCAUGUUCCCUCCUCAGCCUGUCCCGUAACCAGAGAGCUACAGCAAGGUGGCACAGCACACAUGAAUUCUUCAUGCAAACGAUAAACUCUUGGUUUUUGUGUUUCUGUGGGAUGGCUUGUAUUGUAUAUGCCUUGGGAGAGGGCCUGAGAACCCCACACAGUGCCGUCCGGAGGCGUGUCUGCCUGAAGGCAUGGUGCUGCAGACCAUGCUGAGGAUGGAACUCAGGGUCUCAUGCCUGCUGGUCCAGUGCUCUUUCCUGGCGCUAUACAGUGGCAGCAGUUAGUUUUGAAAGAACUAAACUUGUGUUCUUCUGGCUAAGAUGAGCCUGUUUGGGACGACAUCAUUAGGUGGAUGGUGGGGGUAACUUAAUGAGCAGUUGAAGCUGAGGAUCCGAAAUCACUGUGUUUGGUUCUGUUCCGUAGGAUGAUGCAUCCCAGGAGAACAAUAUGCAAGCCGAGGUUACAGGUAAACUAAAACAGCACUUUAAUAAUGCGCUCCCCAAACAGAACAGCACCACCACCGGGGUCUCCGUUAUCAUGGUAAGUGGGACACAGAGCUCUGCCUCGGAGAGCCGGGGCUGGCCGAGCUGGAGUUGCUGUCUAGAUAGCCAGGGUUCUGCUCAUGGAAGCUGGUGUCUUCCAUGUUCCUGUCUCCAUGGAGGAUUGCCUGGCAUGUAGAGGGUGCUUUCAGCUCUGUUCCCUAGACUCUGCAUGGCAGCUAGGGGCUGGGAGGAGACAGAGCAGCAGUGACAGGGAGCUCUGGCUGGGCCUUGCCUCACCUGUCAUAGCUGCUGCUACCUCUAGGGAUAGAUUGCAGCCCCAUAGCAUGGGCACUGUAAGGAAAUAAGGCCCAGCCUCUGGUUGAGGUGUGAGUUCUUUUAAACUUGGAAUAGGAAACAGCCAAGUUAACAAAUUUCACUUUUUAAAGACUGCUUGGUAAAAAUAAAAAUAGUUGGUGUGUUUUUAAAUCCAUAGAAGUAUUUUUUUAAAUCAGAUUUUCAUGGUUAGAGUUUUAUUUUAAAAGUAACAAUGAUCCCAUUUUUGUACUUCUCCCAAAAUGCUUAAGGCCAUGAAUCUAAAUAUUUAAACACAAGAGACAAAAGUAACAUUAAGGAGAGCCAGAAGAAAGAGUACAGGACAGGAAAAUAAACCCAAGUGAGGUCAGUGGUGCCUGAGUCCCUCUGAGCAUCUCCCACCUGCUCAAGUCAGCCAAGGUACAAACCAGCCAAGGUCUCCAACAGCGGUGCCUCUGUCCUCCUCACCACCACAGCAGACAGACAGCCGACACAGGGCCAGGGGCGUGGAUAUCGGGAACUUGCCUCUCCGAGGGGCAGGUACCUGAAAUAGGCCGUCCCUGCAGCUCUGUCAUUUGCUUCUAGAGCAGCCUCUUGCCCCAUGGGAGAGGUUCUCCGUAUUCCUCCUACAUACAGGGAUAUAGGCUUAUUCUCACUGCACAGUGUAGUCUAAGGAUGCCAGGAAACCGUGGGAGUCCAGGAAGCCACAAUGCACACACCCACUAUGGACACAAGUAUUCUGCUGUUGGUUAAGCACCUGUGGCAUUCCUGGUCCCUGCUUUCUGUGAUGUAUUCCCUUCCUCCAAGGGUCUUAGUUCAUUUGGUAGACUCCCUCCCACUGUCCUCGAGACUCCUGUGCUCCCUGCAGGGAUCUGUGUGCUCCGUUUCCUCCCCAUACGACUUGAGUCCACAAACUGGGCUUUGCGCUGCCCUGUAGGACUCUGGAGUGCUCCUUGAUGAACACAGGAAGGCUGGAGGUGUGGCUUUUCCUGCCACUGUAGUGAUGUUUUACUGAAUACUGGAGAAAGGCAGAGAUGUCACAGAUAUGGAGCCCACAGCAGGGGGACAUUUCUAGAACCCAAGGAUUCUCUUUUGAGACCCAGCCUGUGAGCAGAAGCAGGGUGGAUCUGCGCCAUGCAUGGUGUGGUAGGGAGCGUCUGUGGAAGUGGAAGAGAAAACCAUUAAGAGUCAGCAUUUGUGUUGGGGUGCAGCUCAGCGGCUGUGCGUGUACCCCAAUAUCCCCCAAAGUAUAUAUUCAGCAUCUGGUACAGCCUUGAAGAGAAUUUGUUGGAGUCAGAAUUUCCUAUCAUCUGUUAAUUAGCUUGCUAAUCUUCUAAGAUUUGUUAGUUUUGCAGCCCUGGAAUUAAAGGCCAUUAGGCCUGUUCUCUGCCUCCUGACCCUAAAGCUCAGCUGAGGGUCUAGAAUGAUUGACAGUCCUCCCUUGAGCCGGCAUAAGCGGUGUAAGCUGCGCUGUGGAUAACAAUGCAGAGAACCUCUCACCACUUACAAAUAGCGGUUUCCCCCUUGCUAAUGGAGUUAGUCAGAUGUCAGACCCUUGAGUUUUAACAGAGUGUUCCUGAGACUGAACAAACCUUAAGAAGGUGACUGUAUAAAAAUUGUGUGUUGAUGUAUAUGCAGGAGCUAUUUGGCACAUGUUGGUGACAUCCAGCUAACCACAUUCUCUGCCUAAGCCUGGAGACUGAGCACAGGGAACUGCCUGCCAAUGGUCUCACUGCAUUCAGAAUCUACUGGACAGAUUCCUGGGACUUGUUUCCGGCCGGCCGUCUCUGUUCUCAGUGGUUCAAAAGCCAGCCUGCCAAAUUUUGACUUGGCCCCAAAAGCAGCAGAAGGCUUCUUGCUUGUCCUUCCCCAAGCCAGUUCUGGGCCUAUGUAUGGCUGCUGGGUAGAACCUGUGACAUACUUCGGGGCCCCGUGUCAUGUAUAUCAUGACUGUAUAACUGAGAGCAGUUUUAAAUUGUUUUUAUGCAUAAAGUAACUACAAAAUGCCUGUCUCUGGCAUGAGUUAGUCAUUACUGAGUAUACGGGCUCAGUAGCAGAGGAGUAGAUGUGUUUGUAGCUCAAUGGUUAGUGGUCUCUGCAUAAUUUACAGAUGAGGUCCUCUCUGUCUCCUGUCACCUCAGAACUCUCCCCAAGUAGGUACCUGGGGCUCCAGUGAGUAGUAUGCUAGGGUAGGGCUGACUCAGGGGAAAGACACCGAAGUGACACUGUUGUCUGCAUUUCGUUUGACAGUUUGAUUUGACAGUUUGAGCGACACUUCAGAGUUUCGUUCUUUGCCCAGUUGAGACUAUGGGAAACCCUGAAGCAGACCCUGGUAUUCAACACCCUGUGCUCAUGAGAGCCGCACCUAACUUUCAGCCCCUCUUCCAGCUGCAUGCUUGUCUCAGGCUCCGGCCCUCAGCUUCCUGCUGGUAGGGGUCCUCUGAACCCACUGACCUCCUCCUGGCCAGCCCAGCCCAGCGCGCCUUUGGGGAGCUUUGUGAUAGACUAAGCUUGUCAAGUCUGGUUUCCUGCUCAGGAGCAGGGGCCAAUAGUUCUGUGCCCUGUUCCUGUUUACAUAGGUGAAGGGCAUCUUUCUGCAAAUGACAGCAGGGGAUGAGUGUCUCCGUGAGGUUUUAGUGCUUUGUCCAGAGCUGCAUUUCUAUCAGCCAGCCUCCAUGAUGAGAACAUGGUCAUAUCAGAAAGAGUUUCAGAGGCCGAUGGCUCCGGGUUGCACUUUAGCGCUGUCCCUGACAUUGCUUAGUGUGCUGAUGAAGGACAGUGUAUUCCAGGAGGUGGUUUCUUUGUCCCAGUGAGGGACGAAGGGAAAAAAAAAAGCCUCAGAGACCAGAAGGGGCCAUCUUGUGGCAGAGAAGGGAAUGACAAGACAUCUCCUUCCAUGGUCUUACAAGAGGGAGAAAUGUUAGUCAAAGGAUACCAGAGGCUCUGUUUACUUUGGUGGGGUGGGGGUGGGACUCAGGGGUUCUUUCCUUAUUUAAGACAGACAAGACUGUUAAUCGUGUCGCUUCUGUUGAAAGUAAGUCUAGUUUCUGUCCCUGCUUCUCUCCCCUCCUGCCUCUCCCGCUGCUGCAUUGCUUCCCCUGACUAGGUCCAAGGCCAUGAACACGGCUCUAGAUAAAGAGGGGCAGAUUUUCUGCAGCAAGCUCUGUCAAGACAGCAGCAGACCAUCCAGGGAGCAGACCUCGCCAGUCCCUCCCUCAGCCCAGGAGGCCCCUCCCCCACUGGAGUCUCCCAGGCCCCCUGGUCCUCCAGCCACCUCUGGCUGUGAUCUGGCAGGGACCUGGCGCCGCCACCGAGACUGAACCCUGUGUACACAGGCCAAAGCCGCUCACCGUGCCAGGCAGGCCGCUCUUCAGCGGGCCUCAUCAACUCCUUGCUGAAAGAGCCUCUCUCUCCUGGCUGCUGCUUUGACAGUUUGUUGGCAUGUUCUGUCACUGCCUGAGAACAGAACUGGGGCAUCCUGGAGCCCGUGUGCAGCAUGGCCUCAUGCACUUUGGGCUCUGCCCUCUCUAGUUCCUGGCCAUGUCAAGCAAGCCAUGUCAGUUGUGGAGACAUAUUUGGAGUGACUCAUUUUAAAUCAUCUGUGUUUUUAGUUCAGUAGACACUUGGCCGCUUUCCCCAGAGAAUGUGCAACUUUUAUCUGGAAUUACAUCGUUUUUACAGAAAUGCAUUGGACGAAUUAGGAUUCUCCUUAUUGAAGGACACUCCAAGUGCUCCCUUCUCAGGACACAGCUAUGGUUCCUUUGUUCUGUGAGAGGCAACAUGGCCUCUUCGUCUUCAUAGGGCGCUGAGGCACCUGGCUUCUGACUAGGAGUGUCAUUCUGACUUGAGAGGGUCAUUUGCCUCCUGACUUUGGGAAGUGCAUUCUGAAGCCCCAGGAAGCAGAUCCCGACCAUCCGUCCGUCCGUCUGUCCGCUGGGCUGGGGUGCUGGGCUCGCAGACCUAGCUGACUCACCCUUGGUUUCCCGACUCUCCUUGUGUGUGUUUUAGGAAAUGCUUAUGAAGCUGGCCCGUGGGCUUCCCAGUGGGACGUGCAGCAGUUCUUGGCAGAGCAGGGCCAGCUCUGCUGUGUCAUCUCCAGGGUCUCCCAUCACCUCUGCUCUUUGCCAUGGCAGGUCUGCUGAGACCCCGCGGGGACGGGGGCAUGGUGCUCCCUGAUUGGCCUGUGACCAACCUUCUGGAAGGCUGCUGGCAGUUUUCCCUGUUUUCCACCACCCCACUCUUUUUAAUAAUUGUAUAUAACUGUACUUGUUCUACUUGCUUGUCUUUAAAACAGGGGCCCCCACAGUUCACUCUCACUGUUAGAUUUUGCCUUUUCCAGGUAUCCCCAACCUGCAAUAAACUCUUCCCUCUUCAGAAAAUC